GUUUUUGUUCAUGGCGGGAAGAGAAAUGACAAGAAUGGCAGAGAAACUGGUCAGAGUGGAUGAGCUACGGCCUUGGUCUGAACUUCCUACGGAAUUCCUGGAGCUCAUUGUGUCCUGUCUGUGCCUCGAAGAUUAUGUUCGCUGGUCCUGUGUUUGUAAGGAUUGG